CUUCCAAGAACCUUCGAGAUCUGCGGUCUGGGGUCUGGUUGAAAGAUGGCGGCCCUCACUACCCUGUUUAAGUACAUAGAUGAAAAUCAGGAUCGUUACAUUAAGAAACUCGCAAAAUGGGUGGCUAUCCAGAGUGUGUCUGCGUGGCCGGAGAAGAGAGGCGAAAUCAGGAGGAUGAUGGAGGUUGCUGCUGCAGAUGUUAAGCAGUUGGGCGGCUCUGUGGAACUGGUGGAUAUUGGAAAACAAAAGCUCCCUGAUGGCUCGGAGAUCCCGCUCCCUCCUAUUCUGCUCGGCAGGCUGGGCUCCGACCCACAGAAGAAGACCGUGUGCAUUUACGGGCACCUGGAUGUGCAGCCUGCAGCCCUGGAGGACGGCUGGGACAGCGAGCCCUUCACCCUGGUGGAGCGAGACGGUGGAGUGCAGCAACAAAGACCUCCAUUCUGGGGUGUACGGGGGCUCGGUGCACGAGGCCAUGACUGAUCUCAUUUUGCUGAUGGGCUCUUUGGUGGACAAGAGGGGGAACAU
rnacentral:sRNA from 1 species